UUUUUCCCAGCACAACAGAUCAACAGGUUAAACUGAAAGACCCCCAGUGUGGGGAGACCCUCACUCAAGUCUUGGGAUGACGCGACCCCCCCAAGAAUUCACACAAGACA
rnacentral:pre_miRNA from 14 species